ensembl:lincRNA D630029K05Rik RIKEN cDNA D630029K05 gene
GUGUGUCUCUCUCUGUCUCUCUCUGUGUCUGUCUCUCUCUUUGUGUCUUUCUGUGUGUGUAUGUGUGUCUCUGUCUCUCUCUUUCUGUGUGUGUCUCUCUCUGUGUCUCUUUCUGUCUCUCUCUGUCUCUCUCUCUCUCUGUCUCUCUGUCUCUCUCUCUUCUUGGGAGUGCUGCUUUCUUGUAUGUUUGAACUCUUGUCUCCAGGUAGCUUUUCAAUUAUUUGGAAAACGUUUAGUUUAAUGGCAACUGUGGAAAGGCCAGACUCCUGCACAAACCAUGGAAAAGAUCUCCCAGGUCAGGCAGGUUCUUGGUUAAAAAAAAAAAGUAUCCGUGUGUAUAAAUGUAUGGUACUCCAUACGGAAGAAGUCCUGAGAAGUUGUGUGAUGAAAUUUCACUUGCAUGAUAAAGCUAAGGAAACUGCACAAGGAAAGCCCCGUAGAGCAGCGGAGUGUGGAAUGCGCUCAGGUGGAAGCUGCCUGAUUAUCAGGACGUCUUACUCCAGGGGGAUGCUCAAGAUGGACUCCUUGUGCCUUGCAAGACUCUGCUCUUUUUAACAUUGUAAAAUAACACCUGCUCACUAUGGAAACUUUUUAAACACAGAGAAACAGUGAAACAAAUUUACCCACAGUCAUCAGCUCUCCUUGUUCAAUUGGCUUUUUUUUUUCCUGUGCUCCUCUUUUUUGCCGUGUUCCUGUUUUUCGCUGGGUUUGCCAGAACCUCAAACAAGCACCCAGCCUUCUUGUGUAUUUUUUCCCAAAAUAUUACUAUUCAAAUGACCUUUUUUUGACUUAGUUGGGGCGGGGUAUUCGUUAUGUUGCUGUUGAGACAAGGUCUCACUGUGUAACCCUGGCUGGCUGGCACUUGCUGUAUCAGGCUUAAACCGUGCUCCUCUUUCUUGCCAUGCUC